rnacentral:rRNA from 1 species
CAGUAGCAGGUAGUGAGUUUGUUGCGGUGCAAACAAAAAAAGCUCGCAGUUUGUAUUUUUGUCAGAGGGCUUCCAUACCACCUCUGGGUGAAUGGCUGGCUCGACCUUCGCAUCCUGCAGGAGAAUGGAUCUCCGGUUUACUGAGUGGGGGAGUGUCUGCGAAUUUCAAUUGGAGGAAACUAGAGUGUUCCAAGCUGGCAUACGGCUUGAGCACACUACCAUGGUAUAAUAAGGUAGGACCUUUGUUUUGUUUUAUUUUGGGUGGUUUCUAGAGCUGAGGUAGUGUUUAAUUGUGAUAGCUUUUUGGAGUGGACUCGUGUUUAUUUGCCAGUGGCGAAAUUCUUGCAUUUGCCAGAGAUGGAUUAGUGUAGAAACAGUUACCCUUUAUGUAUCAUAGAUCAAGAACGAACGUUCGGGGAUCGAAGAUGAUCAGAUACCAU